AGCCUUAUUAAGAGCAGCUGAGGGAGCUGGGAUUGUUCAGGAGAGGAGGCUCAGGUGUGACCUUAUCACUCUCUAGAACUACUCAAAGGGAAGCUGUGGUGAGGUGGAG
ensembl:miRNA gga-mir-6700 gga-mir-6700